UGCACAAGACUUUUGGAACAUUAUCAAUGGUUACUGUUUCAUGAUUUAUCAUAACUACUUUUAUGAUGCUGUUGCUUUAUUGAAAAGAUGAAUUGACUUGGUCAUAUGUGCAGACAAAGUGAAAGCGCAAAAUAAAAAAAGUUUCUGCAUUUUCAGGUUUUUCUCCUAUAGUAUCUGUCUGGUAUCUUGUAUAGCAUCUGGUUUGCAAGUAAUUUUGGGUAAAUAUAAAUGUUCUAGUCCUCCUUCCUUGUACUUUGUUUUUAAAUUCUAAUAAGCAUUUUUAGGUUGUUUUGUAAAGUUUGUUACGGGCAAUUUUUAAGCUUCAAGGCUUUUUCCUGGUAGAUGACUUGUGAUGUUUUCCUGGUCUGCUUAUCAGAAAAGGUGUUUAUUUCCUUGGUUCCAUUUUAGCUAAUCUCCACCUUGCAUCUAUGUGGUAUUCCCCUGGCAUAGUGUGCCUGCAUUGCUGGUGUGCAAAAGUGAAUCGUACAAUUUGCCCAGCCAGUGAUAUUUGAGAAGGCUCUUAGUAAUUAAAAGGUGCCUUGAUAGAAUGUUGACUUACUGUAUGUUACUGCUGUGUUAUAUAACCCUGUUUUAAUGUUAAUUGAAUAUGCUGAUGGAUAUCCUGCAAGUGUCCCUUCUCUGUUGUUAACAAUUAUGAUGCCUUCAUUGUACUUCUAAACAACUCAUGUGAGAUCAGAUGUAUUCUUACCUUAAGUGUCCUGCUUUAACGAUUGGUUUAUUAAGUGGAGUAAGAAUUAGUUAAUAUUAUUUAUCCUAAUAUCAAGUAUUCAAUGUUAAACCGUAAAAAAAAAAAAAAUCAACACUCUUAUAAUGUAUAAAAACAACUAUAUGCAAACUGGGCUAUACCACCCAAGUCCCUAAAAGAGUUGAUUCUAAAUAUAUGUUUGGACAUUGUUGUCGUUAAAGAUCUUUGUGUCACCCCAGUUUCUUCUUCCUCAGAAAGAACCCAAGAUUGACUGAUUUUCAAACACUUCUCUCUUAAGGUUUAUCUCAAAACAACUGGUUCCAUUUAUGAAUUCAAAUUGACUUUUCCAAUGUAUAGUACUGUAUGUGGUGAAAGCUCUACAUUUUGUGCUCCUGAAAGUCAGUGCUGCUUUUCACUCAUUGAGUUUUUCUGAAAUUCUAGUUAGACUUUACACAGGUUUAGAUUUCAUUUCCUAGAUGUACAAUUUGUUUUAGUGCUUAUUCUGCAGAUGGUGCAGUGUUUAUUGCUGCAGCUUCAUUUUCCACAGUUCCUCGUUCACUGGGCAUUUCCUGUGUGGAGUUAACAAAAUCUUGUGCUUGUGUGUUUUUUUUGUUUUUUUUUUGAGCUAGAAGUCGAACCCAUACUCAAGUGUGUCCUUAUAUGUCAACUUUAGGGCCUACUCUGCUGCUGUUGUUGGUGGAUUUUUUUCAUGUUACCCCAUGACAUAGUCCCCCAUCACAGUACUGUGUCUGUAGUUUGUACAAAUGAUACUCACCUCUACUUUUUGGUUAAACCAAAUGACUCAAAUAAAUUGGCCACCAUGUACCCCAGGAAUCUAAAGUACCAGGUCCAGUCUAAACUAGGUUCACUUCUUACAAAUUUUAAGUCUGUAUCUUCUUAUCUCAAAUGUCUUUUGACAUUAAAAUGACCUUUGACAAAGACAUCGGAAAACUGAUCCAAUCUUUCUUUUGUACCUUGGGUCAAGGAACAAAUCUAAAAAGAAGCCUUUAUUACUUCUAGCAAAUCAUUAUUUUUUAAUUUCAUCUCCCUUUGACUAUUGCAGUUCUUUCUAUUCAUCUGAGUCAUCAUGGUGCCACCAUGCCUGUUCAAAUUCAGUUGAAAGAAUCCUUACAAAAAUUAAGAAUUUCCAUAACGCCAUGUCCUUUAAUUUUUCAUUUACAGUUUACGUUUACAUCCUUGCAGCAGUUGGAUACAAGGAAGAAACUGACCCUAAAUGGACACUCACCCAUGUGCCCAUAUUCAUUUACAUCAAGCUCCUAACUUGUGUAUUUUGAUAUGGAUGAGCUUUUUGAAAUAUAAGGUAGCUUUUCAGAAGGGAAAGAAUUAGAAUUCAUGGGAUAUACAGUGGUUUUAAUCCCAGGACACUUAAAUAUCUUGCAUCGUUCUGGUUUUGAUGUAAAAAUGCCUUUGUCAGAAGCAUUAUGAGAAAGACUGUGAAUCAAGAAAAUGAACCAUGAUCUUAUAUCCAGAUAUAAAAAUGAAUAAAUACCCAGUGUAUGAUCUUACAGUAUGUUACAUUCGUUGGUUUUACUUUCUUUUUCUUUUACAACACAAUGAAUGUUAAACUUUAACUUAAGGAAAACAUGCCAAGUGUAUUUUCUUUUCAUUUACUGUAAGUCUUCAAACAGCCUUACACUUUCAUUUUUGUUCAGUAAUAUUAGGGACAAUGCAUUGUUUUGUUUAGAGGCUUUCUAAACCCACUCAAUCUAAUUAUAGUGUCUGAAAGGAGUGGAGACUAUCCUGGCAGGAAGCGCCUCUUAAUGGGGUGCCAAGCCAGUUUGCAAUCACCAGCUUAACUUCACACACAUGUCUUUGGGAUGUGGGUCAAAAGCCUAAUUACCUAAAGAAAAGUCCAUGCAAAAUGUGAAAUCUUUAUGCACAUGUAAUGUGGCUGGACAUGAAUUCAAACCUAGUCAUCUAGAACUGUGAGGCAGCAGCACCGAUCACUGUACAACCACUUCCCUUUGUUUGUCGGGUGGGCAAUCCCAAAAUUAAUCGCCAGUCUGUUGACUCAUUCUUUUGAAGAUUUUGUUAGCUAUUCCACAAUGAGUAUUUAGCAGUAAAGCUUGUUCUUUGUUUUGAAAGAUGUGUUGGAGAAAUGUGAAGCAACCAUUGUCUUUGAGGUAUAAUCAUGUGCUAUUUUAUCCCACUUCCCUGUGCAGUAUGUCUCUUGUGUUUUGAUGAAUCUUAUUCUUUUUAAAUACAGCUGUCAAAGACAUUACAGUGUCUGUGUCUCACUAACAUUAGAUUGGUGUUGUAAUAAACAGUGAGUCAUUUAACAGUCAAUAAAUACUUUGUGUGCUGAAUA